rnacentral:rRNA from 1 species
AAGCGGCAGAACUGCAAGUAUGGCUGGGAUAUUCAGGCUUAUUGCGUUGUGACUGAGAGUGCUUAUAAAGUGUCCUUUGGGGAUGUGCUGAUGAUGCUCUUUUAAUUGUGACGAUGCGCCGCAUUUAUUCUCGUCAUCGGGUUGCAUCGACUGAAGUAGUAGUUUAGGGCUAGGAUCCUGCGAAGCCUUGUUGUUUCGAGUCUUGGUUUUCCGACUAUUCUUGCGGUCGUUUUAAUUCAUUGGGAGUAGGCGUUUAGGCGCGGUCAAGGGUUUGUACGAGUUGUGUGCACAUGAUAUGUGGACGGGUAACCGUAACAUGUUGUGUGAGGCUGAUUGUCGGUAUGAACUUUUUUGGCACUGCUCUUUAUUUGAUUGCAAUCUAAUGCAUGCCUGGUCUGCCUGUCCCGUCUUGAAACACGGACCAAGGAGUCUAACAUGUAUGCGAGUCAUUGGGAACGUUAAACCCAAAGGCAUAAUGAAAGUAAAGAAUUCGAUUUGCGAAUUUGAGGAGAGAUCAUGGAUGAUGGUGAGAUACGUAAAAGUUUCUUGCCAUUGUUGUGCGCAUCUCCUGGACGUCUAAACUUCUGAAAGUUGGGCGUACCAAGAGCAUACACGUUGGGACCAGAAAGAUGGUGAACUAUGCCUGGUCUAC